rnacentral:rRNA from 1 species
UACAGAGGUCCCGAGCGUUGUUCGGAUUCACUGGGCGUAAAGGGUGCGUAGGUGGCCAUGAAAGUUCGAUGUGAAAUCUCCGGGCUUAACCCGGAAAAGGCAUUGAAAACUCUGUGGCUGGAGGUUUGGAGGGGGGACUGGAAUUCUCGGUGUAGCAGUGAAAUGCGUAGAUAUCGAGAGGAACACCAGUGGCGAAGGCGGGUCCCUGGACAACACCUGACACUGAGGCACGAAAGCUAGGGGAGCAAACAGG